rnacentral:rRNA from 1 species
UACCAGCACCCCGAGUGGUCGGGACGAUUAUUGGGCCUAAAGCAUCCGUAGCCGGUUCUACAAGUCUUCCGUUAAAUCCACCUGCUUAACAGAUGGGCUGCGGAGGAUACUAUAGAGCUAGGAGGCGGGAGAGGCAAGCGGUACUUAGUGGGUAGGGGUAAAAUCCGUUGAUCCAUUGAAGACCACCAGUGGCGAAGGCGGCUUGCCAGAACGCAACUCGAC